rnacentral:rRNA from 1 species
UUGACCUCGGAUUAGGUAGGAAUACCCGCUGAACUUAAGCAUAUCAAUAAGCGGAGGAAGAA